AUGGAGUACAAGGCUCCCCUGUUGUGGAUGCUGCUGCUUUUGGUUCCAGGCUCCACUGGGGAUACAGUGCUGACUCAGUCUUCAGCCUCCUUGAGUGUAUCUCCAGGACAGAGGACCUCCAUCUCCUGCAGGGCCAGCCAGAGUGUUAAUGCAUAUGGUAUUGGCAUUAUGCACUGGUAUCAACAGAAACCAGGACAGCCUCCCAAACUUUUGAUCUAUGAAGCAUCCAAUCAAGCCCCUGGGGUACCAGAGCGGUUCAGUGGCAGUGGGUCUGAGACAGACUUCACCCUCACCAUUCACCCUGUGGUGGCCGAGGAUGCUGCACACUAUUACUGUCAGUAG